UACGAAGGGGGCUAGCGUUGUUCGGAAUUACUGGGCGUAAAGCGCACGUAGGCGGAUCGAUCAGUCAGGGGUGAAAUCCCAGAGCUCAACUCUGGAACUGCCUUUGAUACUGCAAAUCUCGAGUCCGAUAGAGGUGGGUGGAAUUCCUAGUGUAGAGGUGAAAUUCGUAGAUAUUCGGAAGAACACCAGUGGCGAAGGCGACUCACUGGACACAUAUUGACGCUGAGGUGCGAAAGCGUGGGGAGCAAACAGG
rnacentral:rRNA from 1 species